rnacentral:rRNA from 1 species
UACGUAGGGUCCGAGCGUUGUCCGGAAUUAUUGGGCGUAAAGGGCUCGUAGGCGGUCUGUUGCGUCGGGAGUGAAAACUUACAGCUUAACUGUGAGCGUGCUUUCGAUACGGGCAGACUUGAGGCAUUCAGGGGAGAACGGAAUUCCCAGUGUAGCGGUGAAAUGCGUAGAGAUUGGGAAGAACACCAGCGGCGAAAGCGUGCUACUGGGUCUGCACUGACACUGAGGGACGAAAGCUAGGGGAGCGAAAGGG